ACAACGGCUGCACCAACAACAACAGCUGUGCCCACAACAACAGCCGCCCCAAUAACAAUUGCACCCACAACAACAGAAGCAGUCGUAGCAAGGCUAUUGACAUUCAGAUCUCAAGAAGAGACAUUUACAAGUGAUUUGCACGUUCCAUCAUCUGCAGCGUUUCAAAGUCGAGCUGUAUUGAUAGAGUCAACACUCAGACCUUUACUCAAAGAAGCUUUUCCUUCGUUCCGCAACAUCCGUGUGAUUUCAUUCAGUAAUGGAUCAAUCAUCCAAAACUCACUCAUUUAUUUUCCAUUAACAUCUGCUCCUAAUGGCACUGAGAUUCGAAAAGUUUUGGUUGCAGCAGCUUGUAUCAUCAGAACCUUCAACAUUGACAACAACUCCAUUUAUUUUGAUGGCACACAGGUUUCAAGUGGAGUAAGCCACAACAUCAGUCUCAUCACUGCAUCCUUCCUUGUGCUGAUGUCAUGGAUCCUGUCAAGCCAGCAAUAGCGUCAUUGCUGAUUACUGUUUGAAUUUGCAUUAUUGCAUGACUGCCAUCACUGGCAUGAAAAAUGACUUCUUGAUUCUUGUCAAAGAAGUCUUGUACAGCGUCAUAUAAACUUACUAUCACAUUUCAUUUUGCAAUUACUGCACAUAUUUAAGACAGUGGAUUAGGUUUAUGUCAAUCUUAACACGUUUCUAGGUUUCACUUUAUUCCAUAUCAUUACAUUACAUUGCAUAGAAAUAUCAGAGAGCAUAUUGUAAAGGGAACAUGUGUCUAAAGUUAAUUAAAGGAACAACACUGCAGGUCAUCAUGAGUCGUGGAACCAACCGUGAA